rnacentral:rRNA from 1 species
AACGCUGGCGGCGUGCUCAACACAUGCAAGUCGAACGGAAAGGCCCUGCUUUUGUGGGGUGCUCGAGUGGCGAACGGGUGAGUAACACGUGAGUAACCUGCCCUUGACUUUGGGAUAACUUCAGGAAACUGGGGCUAAUACCGGAUAGGAGCUCCUGCUGCAUGGUGGGGGUUGGAAAGUUUCGGCGGUUGGGGAUGGACUCGCGGCUUAUCAGCUUGUUGGUGGGGUAGUGGCUUACCAAGGCUUUGACGGGUAGCCGGCCUGAGAGGGUGACCGGCCACAUUGGGACUGAGAUACGGCCCAGACUCCUACGGGAGGCAGCAGUGGGGAAUAUUGCACAAUGGGCGGAAGCCUGAUGCAGCAACGCCGCGUGCGGGAUGACGGCCUUCGGGUUGUAAACCGCUUUCGCCUGUGACGAAGCGUGAGUGACGGUAAUGGGUAAAGAAGCACCGGCUAACUACGUGCCAGCAGCCGCGGUGAUACGUAGGGUGCGAGCGUUGUCCGGAUUUAUUGGGCGUAAAGGGCUCGUAGGUGGUUGAUCGCGUCGGAAGUGUAAUCUUGGGGCUUAACCCUGAGCGUGCUUUCGAUACGGGUUGACUUGAGGAAGGUAGGGGAGAAUGGAAUUCCUGGUGGAGCGGUGGAAUGCGCAGAUAUCAGGAGGAACACCAGUGGCGAAGGCGGUUCUCUGGGCCUUUCCUGACGCUGAGGAGCGAAAGCGUGGGGAGCGAACAGGCUUAGAUACCCUGGUAGUCCACGCUGUAAACGGUGGGUACUAGGUGUGGGGUCCAUUCCACGGGUUCCGUGCCGUAGCUAACGCUUUAAGUACCCCGCCUGGGGAGUACGGCCGCAAGGCUGAAACUCAAAGGAAUUGACGGGGCCCCGCACAAGCGGCGGAGCAUGCGGAUUAACUCGAUGCAACGCGUAGAACCUUACCUGGGUUUGACAUGGAUCGGGAGUGCUCAGAGAUGGGUGUGCCUCUUUUGGGGUCGGUUCACAGGUGGUGCAUGGCUGUCGUCAGCUCGUGUCGUGAGAUGUUGGGUUAAGUCCCGCAACGAGCGCAACCCUUGUUCACUGUUGCCAGCACGUUAUGGUGGGGACUCAGUGGAGACCGCCGGGGUCAACUCGGAGGAAGGUGGGGAUGACGUCAAGUCAUCAUGCCCCUUAUGUCCAGGGCUUCACGCAUGCUACAAUGGCUGGUACAGAGAGUGGCGAGCCUGUGAGGGUGAGCGAAUCUCGGAAAGCCGGUCUCAGUUCGGAUUGGGGUCUGCAACUCGACCUCAUGAAGUCGGAGUCGCUAGUAAUCGCAGAUCAGCAACGCUGCGGUGAAUACGUUCCCGGGGCUUGUACACACCGCCCGUCAAGUCAUGAAAGUUGGUAACACCCGAAGCCGGUGGCCUAACCGUUGUGGGGGAGCCGUCGAAGGUGGGACUGGU